GGGAGGGGGGCACAAUUCAGUCCAUAACAGUGAGACAACAACAGUGUUGUCAGGCAUUGCCGGAUGACAGUGUAAAAAAUACUCUAGUGACUACAGGCCGGAAAAGAGUUCCUGCGUCAUGAAGAACGUGUAUCACAGCUCUUAGCUACCAGCCUGGGUAUCUCAAAUGUUUAUGUUAACAUUUGGUACUUCUCUUUCUCUUAGUGUCGUGUGGGAGCCAAUGGGAGAUGGGAAGAAAAUCAUUUCCUUGGCUGAUAACCAUAUCCUGCUGUGGGAUUUACAGGAAAGCUCGAGCCAGGCUGUGCUGGCCAGCUCAGCAUCCCUGGAAGGGAAGGGACAACUGAAGUUCACCUCAGGACGGUGGAGCCCACAUCAUAACUGCACCCAGGUGGCCACAGCGAACGACACCAC
rnacentral:sRNA from 1 species